AUUGAACGCUGGCGGCAUGCCUUACACAUGCAAGUCGAACGGUAACAGGUCUUCGGAUGCUGACGAGAGGCGAACGGGUGAGUAAUACAUCGGAACGUGCCUAGUAGUGGGGGAUAACUACUCGAAAGAGUGGCUAAUACCGCAUGAGAUCUACGGAUGAAAGCAGGGGAUCGCAAGACCUUGCGCUACUAGAGCGGCCGAUGGCAGAUUAGGUAGUUGGUGGGAUAAAAGCUUACCAAGCCGACGAUCUGUAGCUGGUCUGAGAGGACGAUCAGCCACACUGGGACUGAGACACGGCCCAGACUCCUACGGGAGGCAGCAGUGGGGAAUUUUGGACAAUGGGCGCAAGCCUGAUCCAGCAAUGCCGCGUGCAGGAUGAAGGCCUUCGGGUUGUAAACUGCUUUUGUACGGAACGAAAAGCCCUGGGUUAAUACCCUGGGGUCAUGACGGUACCGUAAGAAUAAGCACCGGCUAACUACGUGCCAGCCGCCGCCGUAAGAC
rnacentral:rRNA from 1 species